rnacentral:ncRNA from 2 species
UUAAUUAAUGAGCAAGGGAUUUUUCUGAGUUGAAAAAUCCCAGCAGGGAAGCCGGUUCAAAUCCGGCGCGGUCCCGCCACUGUAAGGGGGAGUUUGUGCCAUAUCCACUGAGGAAACUUGGGAAGGAGGCACUAAACGAGGAACCUAAGCCAGGAGACCUGAUUGCUCAUAUGCUUUACU